rnacentral:tRNA from 1 species
AGUUAAUGAACUUGUAAAGUAUAUAUUUUGAAAAUAUAAAAAAGAAGUAAUAACCUUCUAUUAACUU